rnacentral:lncRNA from 1 species
GGCAGAGCGCUUGCCUGACAGGCAGAGCUGUGGGUUUGAGCCCCAGUACCACCAUGAAAGAACUGUAACCAACCCACCGGACUCACUCCUUCACUGUUCAUGCGAUUGUGCUUUGUUGGGCAGGGAAGUUAGGGGUCCUCCCAUGCCCUCUGCCAUUGCUGCUCCUAGCCAGUCAGUGGCCAUGAGCUGUGUCACUUGCCAGGUCCUUAGCACUGUGACACCUUAGCACUGUGGGCCAGCCCUGCUGCCACAGAGGUGACGAAGGCAGCUAGACAUGCUGCAGGGAGAUGGUAUGCGUGGAUGGGUGUCUGGGGACUCUGGGAAACAGUGGGGAGCCUGAGUUCUCUCAUACUUUUCUCAGAGACGCUGGAGCUCCCCCGGACCUGGUUCUGCAGUUCCUUCUGGGUGGCUUCUCCUUCCCCAGGAACCUGGUCCAGGCCACCCUCCCAGGCCCCCUGCCCACAGCUGGAAGCAGGGAUGAGCACAAGGACUGUGGCUGGCCCCUGCUCUUCUCUCUGCAGGCAGCUCUGCAGGACAUGAAGACUAAACUUAGAAUGACUGUGGUUUGGUCCUGAGCCUCCCACCGUGACCAGCCUCCCUCUAACCUCACUGGAGGUCGGAAGAGCCUGGCAGGGGAUGCCCGUCUCCAGGUCCCCGAGAGGAGACCCAGCCAGCUGAGCUGCAUGUGGACACAGGUGCCGGGGACGUGCUUGGUUGUGAGGGACUUUUUUUUGGGUACUGGGGAUCAAACUCAUGACCUUGCGCAUGUGAGGCAGGCGCAGUGCCACUGAAGUGAAUCCCUGGCCCCAGGAAGAGACUUUUAAAUUGACUUACCUUUAAAUUACCUUCAUUUGCCGCUUUCUUCCUUUUCUGUGGAACUAGAGGUUGAAUCCAAUGCCUUCACUGAGCUUCAUUCUCAGACUUUUUUUUUUAUUUUGAGACAGGGUCUCUCGAAGUUUCCCAGGCUAGAUUCUGCUUCAGCCUUCCAGAAUGCUGAGGUCACAGGUAUGUGCCACUGUGCCUGCCUACUGCUUUUUUUUUUUAAGAGUCACCUUAAACUCCAGCUGACAUAAUCAUCUCUACUGUCCAUAGAGAUGGAUUUGAACACACAGUACUGCUCAGCAGAUUUCUGUUGUGAGACGGAGCCAUUCUAAGCCUUAUUCACUUGGGCCCCCGGUUUCCCAGUGAACCACACAUGCUGUUGUUUAGUGAUUA